rnacentral:sRNA from 1 species
GCUGUGUGUGGCAGUGCACACCUGUAAUCCCAGUCAUUAGGAGGCUGAGGCAGGAGGAUCACAAAUUUAAGGCCAGCCUGGGCAACUUGGUGAGACCCUCUCUCAA